rnacentral:lncRNA from 1 species
UGCGGUUGGCCCCAACAGACAGUCCCGCGUGCGGCCGGGGGAAACAACAAACCCCCUCCUGGGCCCUUCUGGGCCCUUCUAACCACUAAACUGCAAGCAAGCCAGAUGUGCAUGUUGUCUCCAAUGAGUAACCUAGUCAUACAAGUAGUAACGCUGGUAGGCGCAUGGCAGAAUUCAAAGUUCUACUUCUGUUCCCAGAGAUUUCGGGUUCAACUCCGCCUGCCGACAUAUUGGAUGAUGAGAAGUGUCAUUAGAGGUGGUCCUUCAAUUUGUGGACGGUAUAGGACGUGAUAAUAUCAAUUUGAGAACUGACCAGAUACUGAGGUUCCGUUGAUUUGCUAGUUUUGGUUGGGUGCUGGUGGUGAGUUGCUGAACCCAACGAAUACAUUCUGAAGUCGGAUGGGGUGAACGGAUUAGGGUGCCCCUCUAGCAGGGGAGAUCAGGGAACCGCCUCGGGAAAGGGGGCCGCUGGUGAAGCUUAACCACCCUGUAACGACAUAAUAAACAAUGAUAAUGCACACACCGAUGGAAGUUCUACGACCUAAAUCCAUCAGGAUCGGACACGUCUCUUGUGGAGGAAGGUGAGAGCAAUCUGGCGUGGAUAUUGGAGCAUAUUGGAGCAUAUGUGGGCUCACCGCACUUCAGUUAUCCCUUUCGGGCGCUGGUCUGGGCUGAUAGUGCGGUGUUUCCUUUUCUCCGUGGCUUUUAGGCGUUUUGGUAUUUGCCCUUGGGCCUUCGGCUCGUAUGAGUAUUUUCACAGGUAUGGGGUCACGCACCCCCAACCAUGUAACAACCCCCCCCCCCAAAAAUAUCAUAAACACAUUAUGUACACACAUAAAUAGACACACAUGUGAAAGGGGCCCCGAUGACUGAUUGCCUGGUGGCUGACUAGAUGACUGGUUGCCUAAAUAGGCCUUAUCAUCAUCACGGAAGCUCACCAGGGUUUCCGGCUCCAGCACAAUACUUCUCAUCUGGUGUAAGGCCCCCACAGCCUCCAGCGCCGUCACGUCCGUCGUGGUGCUGAUCAGCUGCCCUAUACUCAACAAGCUCGACAACACGUCUUCGCUGCCGGCACGAUCCACGGUCGUGCAGUGCGCCAGCAGAAGCCGCGAUAGCGCCGCGGCCGGGAGCUCUGGCGGGGGCGGCACCGCAGCCGCCGGGCCCCCUGCCAGCGUCUUUGUCAUCGGCGGCGGCUGGGGCAGUUUGGGAGCGGCGCCCAGAUGCGGCAGCAGGCAAACGACCGGGCUGUCCCCGCUCAGUGACGCGGACAACGUAACUUCAGGUAGCGGCGGCAGUGGCGGCAGAGCCAUGGGGGGCUGAGGUUGUUGCGGUGGUUGUGGUUGGCCGGUGGUUGUGGUUGGCCGUCCAGAGAGGAGCUCGCAGCUUGCAGCCGCCGGCAUGACGCGGGCGACAUUGCCGCUGCCGUCGCCGUCGCCGCCGUCGUCGCUGUAUUUCGCAGUGCAGCCGCCGCCGCCGCCGCCGCCAUCGCCGCCGCCGUCGCCGCCGCCGCCGCCGCCGCUGUAGUUCGCAGUGCAGCCACUGGCGGCGGUGGCAGCUGUGGCAUUUGCAGUAGCUGGUCGGUAUGACAAGGCCGGGUGGCAGGACAGGGGAACCUGGACGAUACCUGGCAUCAACAUAGGAUGGUGCUCACGUAGGGUUGUAGGCACGGAUCAGGGUUCAGGGAGGUGAGGCGAUGUUGGUUGAGAGGCAGGCGGAAGGUGGACAGGCGCACGCACGCGUGGACGUAUUCAAUGAAGCUGCGCGGCGCGAGAAGCAAACGUCGCGGUGUGCGUGUUUUAAUGAGCUCAGCCGUGUGUGUGUAUGUAUGUCAUGUGCUUUUCGUGUCCACGUGAGUAUUGGUCGAAUAUAUCCAUGUAUAUCCACAUGGCGUGCGCACGCGUGCGUAUGUAUAUAUAUGUAUGAUGUGUGAAACAGGGGGGUGUAUCUUCGCCCGUGGCAGCUACCCUGCGAAACCCUGCCUUCCCCGGUAUUUCGGGGCACCCUCAUCCAGUCACCCUAGUCAACUUCUCAGUGGAACGCUCAGGUUCCGCACCCACCACCAGCAUCCAACGGAAUCUGCCGGGUCGACAGCGGCCCAACUCCGUUCCUGGUCGGCUCGCAGGUUAACUUUAUCCCAGGUCACCACCGUCCAUCAACUAGGGGCGCAAUGCCUUCCACCAUCGGAAGGACUUUGACCCUAAUGGGUAUCGAUAUGUAUGUAUACAUACGUAUAUAUACAUACAUGUAUAUAAACGUAUAUAUGUAUAUAUGUACAUUAUGUAUAGAUGUAUGUAUCUAUGUAUGUAGGUAUGAAUGAAGAGGCGAAAGCGAAAUGCUGUGGGUACGAGUGGCAUCGGACGGAGCCGCAGUGGGAAGGACUCAGUGUUGUGACUCAGGUAUCAAGACGAGAUCUGCAAUUACGUACCCCUGCGGAUGCCCCUUAGAACCUCACCUUUCCAGACGCGCCCCUCGAUGCAAACGUCGUUCAGAAAUCGUUCGAGCUGUGGAUCAAUCCAAGGAAGGUGCAAAGCGAAAUCUUUUCCAAUUUUGCUAAAACGGCAAUUUGGUAGUAGGUUUUAUCAGGCGAAAUGAAAAGUACGUCGGCCGUGGCGCAACGGACGUCUAAAGCACUGCACGUACAUCGCCGCCGAGCCGGCAGCGAAACAGGAGCAAUUCCUGCCACCUCCCCAACAUCUUAAAGAUUGCGAGGCAUAUCCCCGUUUCGUCACCUUGACUGGAUCAAAACGGAAGAGCUCUUCCCAAACACUUUCUCCACCGGCAGCAGCAGCGUCGCCCUCCGCCUCUGCAUCCAACUGGGCAUAGGAACGUGCGGUGCUGACUAAGAGUCGGGCGGGUUGUUCCUGGGCGACAGGGGCCGCUGCCUGAUUCGCCGCCGGCGCUCGAUUCCGAAGGCCGUAGUACAAGAUGCUCUGCGCAGCAAUAAGCACAUCAGCCGUUUUCUGUUUCCUCAUCAGUUGAAAUACCAUGGGGUGUACAAGUUGCACAGCCGUUUUCACGGUCGUUGUGGUAGCAGUUGCAACUGUAGGGUUGGCAGCCGUUGCAGUGGCAGUUGUGGCUGCAGAUGCAACCGUAGCUAAAGCAGCGAUUGCAACAUAAUCUCCACCUUGAAGUGACAGCCCUAGCAGCGCACUUGCGGUGGCAUCGUAGCGCAGGACUACUAGGGGCUGCAAUCGUUGGGGCAAAGCGGCCACAAAGAAAUAGAUUGCGCUGGCCAACGGCUAACGGCCACACUUGCCGUACGGAAAGGUUUUAACCGGUUCGCCCAGCCACAUGAACCCGACCUCUCUCACCCACCGUUCCGUUUUGGUAGAGGACUCCCCGGCCGCACAGCGUGACUGCCGUCACGAUGGGCGUGAGGCCCUCCAGGACCAUGUUCUCGCGAGCCCUGAAGCCCUCCGCCACUUCCUGCAUUGGGGCCCUAUGCAGAACAUCCCCACCACCAUCACCACCGCCACCACUGCCACCGCCACCGCCACUGCCGUACCGGCUCUCUGAUAACUCUGGCACAGCAGACCACGUGGGUUUGAGCAAUCGCUGCCGAGGGACUGCGGAUCGCUGUACCAGGUGCUGUUGUUGUUGGUGGUGGUGCUGCUGCUGCUGCGACUGCGGGUGUUUCCCCGGGGCCCGGCUUUCACACACAUCAUCUGCGUCGACAAAUGCCAGAGGGACGCCGCCGCCGCCGCCAGGGUCAACGGCGCAGGGGCCAGACCCUGAUGGAGUUCGCGUGCGGCCGCGUCUCUUCAUACUUCCUGACGACAUGGACGCCACCAGGGUGCUGCGCUCCAGGCUGAACGCAUGUGACUGCUGCAUUCGCUGUGGGGGCAGCGGCGGCGUCAACCAAUGCCCCCCGUUAUUGUGUGCGCCAACAGCGGUAGCGGUCGCGGAGGCGGUGGGGAUGGCGAUGUUUGGUGAUGCUGCUCGAUGCGGCUGUUGCAGCUCUUGCUGCUGGUAUUGUUGCGAGAGCCCCAUCACGAAGCUGAGGACAACGGCAUGACGGAUCACCCCCUGGCUGGUAGCUCCAUGCAGGCUGUUCGUCCUGGAGGCAGCGACGUCAUGGCUGCUCGUCCCACCUCCGCCGCAACUGUCGUACCCCGGAGUGUUGUUGGCGGACGCCGGAGUGGUUACCCGCUUAUGCAAUUGCACCACCCUUCGGUUGCGACUGGACAGGGCGUUGCCGGCAGAGAUCCCUUUCCGAAUGCGGGUGGCGCCGCCUUGUUGAGUCGCGACUGCAGGAGUGAUCGACCCAUACAUGAUGGGCUCGACGACGACGUGUUGCCAGAGCCGUGCAACAGGUACGGUGGGCGCUGUGUUGAGGGCCGUGGUUUGCGGGCCGGUUCUCGUUGUUGUGGUGGUAAUGUUGGAAGCGAUGAAGCCGCUGUAGUCGGAGGUAACGCGCGCAUUAGUAUCCGCUACGGGAUACUGGUUGUGGUUGUGGUGGUUGUGGCUGUGGUGGUAAUGUUGAAGUUGCCGCUGCUGGCAUUGCGGGCGGGGCGAGGAGCCAUUGCCCGAGAUAUGCGGGUAUUUGCGGGCGGAUAAGAGGAGCGUGAAUGCGCCAGAAGGUUUGUGCGAGGCAAACCGAAGGAGGUGUUCCCUCACAUCUUGCAGCAAGGCGGGCUCGGAGCGCUCUAACGUACUUAAAACCUCGCCCGCACCCUCGAGUACUGUCCCGUCCUGUAAUUCCGUCUGUGGAAUACGGAAUGAUUUUAGAGCUUCCAGAUUGCAAUAAACAGGGUCCAGCCUGAGUUGCGCGGGGUCGGCUUCACCAUUGCCGAAAGGGACGUGACAUGCGAGGACAAGCACGGCCUGCGGCGAGCUCCCGUAACUCAUAGCUAGAUCCAAUAAAGAUUUAAGCUCAAUUCCAGUAGCUUGGAUUUGUCUGCGGGGUUCCUUUCCCGGCAGAAUUGCAGGAACGACAUUAAAAGCCAAAAGUCCAACUGGACUUGCGCUCCGCCGUUGUCCGUCUUCCUUUGAAGCCCCGCAAGUAAAGCAAGGUAUACAUUUGAAGAUCAUGGGAAACGAGUAAGUUGUAAAAACUGGGAUACCUGUGGCGGUUCAAGUCACGAUAUGCAGACUUUAGGAAAGGGUUUCGACAUGACUGAGCCCCUUCAAGAGACAUGUCAGCGCAAAUAAGCAUAUAUAUGUCCUGCUACUUUUCUUACCUCUCAGAAGUUGCUUUCGUAAGUACGGACAAGGCGCUCCUAAUUGGUCGUCCGGGUUGACUAACUACCGUCGGCCUUACGAACCCGUUUCCAAUGGGGUUACAGGCGCCAAACUCCUCAGGAUGUUAUGACGGUAUUUGGAUGCUCUCAGAAAACUGCAGCGACAGCUAACGCGUUACCACCGUGACCAACGAAGUGUUGUGUGGGUUGGUUCGCCCUUUUGACAUUACCAUGGAUUUCUCAGCUGAAACCUGUAUAAUUCCUUAUUUCAAGCCGUUUCAUGUGACAUGAUGGUUUGGGGCCGUUGUUAUAUGAGCCCUUCCUUAGUUUUAGGCCGUACAGCGUUCCAAAAGGGUCACUGUCCAAAUGAACAGCUUCGAGAUGUCAACGUCACGGGCUUUUGGCGCCCUGUAAAUGCGUUAUGAACCAGUCGUUACGUACUGUUGCUUCGAACAACAAAAAAAUCUACAAAGUAAGUAAUGGCUACUCUCACAAGUCUUUCUUGCUCAUGUGAUGUGCCACGCCCCGGUCGUCUGCCAACUGCGUAAUUCACGUGCAGAGCCUACCGGCAGAGCUCUGCUGGGCCCAUGCAUAGACCACACUUUGAGUUUACAUGGUGUGGUGAUAACAGUACAGCGAACCGGCUUGUAUGCCAGCAAAACAAGCCACCAAAACAAACAGGGGCGGGUGUUACUGACUACUAACCGGUGCAGGGCUGCAUGUUACGGGAGUUUCUAACCGUUACAGGAAUUCCUGCCUUAUUAAGGCAAUGCUGCAUUACUCUGAGCCUGACGGAUCACGGUAAUACUAGGGAAGGAACCGAGAGAACAUUCAAAUAAAGGAGAACUUGCCGCUGCGGUUACGAGUGAUCUGAUUGAUGGCGUCCCAUUUGAGCGAGCAAUUCGAGCUGGCUUUGCGGUGAGAGUCAGCUCGGGUAGAAUCGCCCCGAACUGGACUUCCGAAUUCAACUACAUUUGGAGACACCCAAACAGCCCUUCGUGACUCUACGUCUAAUUUUGGUGGCUAACUCGUCCCACAUGUGAGCAGUUCAUACUUCACUGUCGCGCUUUAACUUGCACCUCCGCAUCUGGACAGCAAAUCGCAAAGGGCACAGCUGUACCCUCUGCAAGUGAUAAGGGGCACAAAUUGCUGGCCGGCGCUCAAGCCCAAAUAUAAGUUCGGCGACAAAUAUAAGUUCGGCGACGAAUAUAAGUUCGGCGACAAAUAUAAGUUCUUGAUGAGGAAAUGCGAUGGAAAUAUGCACUCGAAGACAGAAAUCCGUUCAGAUUUGGGCGUGCACGAAGUCUGCAAAGCAUACUCGCCUCCUACACCAGGCGCACCCGCCGUACAGGAUUCCUCGCACACUCCUGCGGCCUUAUGUGCGCCAGUAUGCCGUAUCUGGUUCCCAUCACUGCCAGGUGUUGCACUUGUAAUCUGGCCUUGUGCAAGAAUUUAUGCUGUGCACGUAGGAUUCUUUGUCACAACCAAACGCCAAGUGCACACGAAUUUUCCCUCAACAGGGCCCUCAACAAUGGAGGUGCCAAAUGCUUUUGCGGCCAAGAAAACAAUGCGGUGGCGUAAUCCGCACACGCAGCACGGGUGGGGGUUGGGUGGUGAGUGAUGGCCGGCUUCUAUGGUUGCCAUGGACCAUUAUGCGUCAUAGAAAAUUACAUUUCUCACCACAACUUUUUAUACUAUAAGAACAGGAUGCGAUGGGGGGCUGUAUGCGAUGUAAAUUUCUUGCGCGGGAAAUGGCUGUGGUAGUGGGCACAAUUUGUGAAGAGGGUGUCUGUCCGCCAGUUACGGCUACGGCAGUCUCCUUCCCGCUGUUCCUACCUCUUUCCUGGCGGCAUAGCAAAAAGCUUUGUUCAGUCUUUAAUGCCAAUAUAAAGCUUACCUGCGAGCAAACUUGUACGGCGGGUGCGUCUAGAGCGUAGGAAGCGAGUAUGCUUUGCAGACUUGAAUGCAUCGAUACAGAAUCAAAGAACGAGCCGAUUAAGUGCUUCGUGCACGCCCAAAUCCGAGCGAGAAAUCUAGUGGUCCUGAGGGGGCUAUUACACGGUUACGAUGGAUCAUUAUCGGCCUGGUUACUUUGUGGCAGCUUUACGUCCUCCCGUACAAGCCCGCUUAUGCUGGCUAUGAGAACCUACGAGAUUUCUGUGUGAGGACUGAGAGGCGAGCACGCGGAGCCGAAGACUCGACCGCGAGGAACUCAGUGCCGAGACACCCACCAUCGAAGACAAUUCUCUGUGGUAGAUGGCCCGGCAGUCCCGUGUAAUGCACUGGACCGGUCAGCGGGGCGAGGCACCAGGCGGGUGGUGGUGCUGCACUCGGACUCCACGUCCGCCUCCUCCUCACAACCCUUUGACUGUUUGUGUGUGUGUGUGUGUGUGUGUGUGUGUGUGUAUAUGCACACAUACAACGGUGUUAACAACUUAUAGCUACAGACAGACAGAGAGACAGACAGACAGGGUAGGCAGACAGACAUGGUGUACAUUGUUCGGGCCUCUACCACCAUCACCACACAGAGGAGCUCUCACUUCUGCAAGCAUCCUGAAAAUUUCAGUACCAGCACCAGCACCACCAGCACCACCAGCACCACCAGCGGGAGGUGGGAAAGGGUAACCUGAUGCAGUUACAGCCGCCGGCUAAGAAAGACGUCAACAUCAGGACGACCACCACCAACAACAACAACAGCAGCAAAACCCAGGUAAUGCCCCCCUUCCCCCCAGGGGCCCCCCGGGAGGCAGGUCUCCAAGCCCCAGGCCGCAGCCGGUCCAAACAUGUCGGAUAGCCUCUGUCCAUGAACAGGCCCCCAUCAGCCCAACCAAUCCUUUCCGUACACACCAUCUCAUCAUCAUUACCACCACCACUAUAUAUCGUUAUGUCACAAAUUUAUGAUACAUACAUACAUGCAUACAUACAUACAUUUGCGAGCUGACCAGGAACUAAGUUGAUGCGCCGUUGAUCCGCUAGAUUUGGUUGGAUGCUGGUGGUGAGUUGCCGAACCCAACGAAUACAUUCUGAAGUCGGAUGGGGUGACGGAUUAGGGUGCCCCUCUAGCAGGGGAGAGCAGGGACUGCCCCGGGAAAGGGGGCCGCUGGCGAAGUUAACCAACCUGUAACAACAUACAUACAUACAUAUCCAUGUCGCUGCUAAAAACCUCGAAUCACUUGAUGAAUGGCUCCACUCCAG